GACGAACGCUGGCGGCGUGCUUAACACAUGCAAGUCGAACGGAAAGGCCCUGCUUUUGUGGGGUGCUCGAGUGGCGCAAGGGUGAGUAACACGUGAGUAACCUGCCCUUGACUUUGGGAUAACUUCAGGAAACUGGGGCUAAUACCGGAUAGGAGCUCCUGCUGCAUGGUGGGGGUUGGAAAGUUUCGGCGGUUGGUGAUGGACUCGCGGCUUAUCAGCUUGUUGGUGGGGUAGUGGCUUACCAAGGCUUUGACGGGUAGCCGGCCUGAGAGGGUGACCGGACACAUGGGGACUGAGAUACGGCCCAGAAUCCUACGGGAGGCAGCAGUGGUGAAUAUUGCACAAAGGGCGGAAGCCUGAUGCAGCAACGCCGCGUGCGGGAUGACGGCCUUCGGGUUGUAAACCGCUUUCGCCUGUGACGAAGCGUGAGUGACGGUAAUGGGUAAAGAAGCACCGGCUAACUACGUG
rnacentral:rRNA from 1 species